rnacentral:rRNA from 1 species
AUUGAACGCUGGCGGCAUGCCCUACACAUGCAAGUCGAACGGCAGCGGGGACUUCGGUCCGCCGGCGAGUGGCGAACGGGUGAGUAAUGUAUCGGAACGUACCUUUCAGUGGGGGAUAACGUAGCGAAAGUUACGCUAAUACCGCAUAUUCUGUGAGCAGGAAAGCAGGGGAUCGCAAGACCUUGCGCUGAUUGAGCGGCCGAUAUCAGAUUAGCUAGUUGGUGAGGUAAAGGCUCACCAAGGCUACGAUCUGUAGCGGGUCUGAGAGGAUGAUCCGCCACACUGGAACUGAGACACGGUCCAGACUCCUACGGGAGGCAGCAGUGGGGAAUUUUGGACAAUGGGGGCAACCCUGAUCCAGCCAUGCCGCGUGAGUGAAGAAGGCCUUCGGGUUGUAAAGCUCUUUCGGCCGGGAAGAAAUCGUACAGGUUAAUACCCUGUGCGGAUGACGGUACCGGCAUAAGAAGCACCGGCUAACUACGUGCCAGCCGCCGCGGUAAGAC